rnacentral:miRNA from 2 species
GCUAGGACCAAGUUUUUUGGA